GCCUCCAUAGUUAAAUGGAUAUAAUGCAAGCUUCCGGAGCUUGAGUUGGGAGUUCGAUUCUUCCUGGGGGCACAA
rnacentral:tRNA from 1 species